rfam:Felis catus isolate Cinnamon breed Abyssinian chromosome A1, whole genome shotgun sequence.
GCCUGGGUGGCUCAGUCAGUUGAACGUCUGACUUCGGCUCAGGUCAUGAUCUCACGGUUCGUGGGUUCAAGCCCUGCAUCAGGCU